rnacentral:lncRNA from 1 species
GUUCUGGAGGCCUCAUAUUUGUAAUAGCGCUGCUCUUCUCGUACUGUUGCACUACCACAAAUUUUCUUGUAACAUCACUAAUUCGAGUGUUAAUGUCAGCUUCACAGGAAAUGAGUUUGUAGUUGCUUAUCUAGUUUGUAUACCUCCUUUUUCGAGCUUGAAACAAGUAUCCACUACUAAAACCUGAGGCCUUGGAUUUGGUGUCGAAACUUCACCAAAAUUUUGCAAGGAUGAUACAGAUAAAAGC